rnacentral:rRNA from 1 species
GGAAUAUUGGGCAAUGGGGGAAACCCUGACCCAGCAACGCCGCGUGGAGGAAGAAGGUUUUCGGAUCGUAAACUCCUGUCCUAUGGGAAGAGGAGAAGACUGUACCAUAGGAGGAAGCCCCGGCUAACUACGUGCCAGCAGCCGCGGUAAUACGGAGGGGGCGAGCGUUGUCCGGAAUGAUUGGGCGUAAAGGGCGCGUAGGCGGCCUGUUAAGUCUGGAGUGAAAGUCCCGCUUUCAAGGUGGGAAUUGCUUUGGAAACUGGCGGGCUUGAGUGCAGGAGAGGUCAUUGGAAUUCCCAGUGUAGCGGUGAAAUGCGUAGAGAUUGGGAGGAACACCAGUGGCGAAGGCGAGUGACUGGACUGUAACUGACGCUGAGGCGCGAAAGUGUGGGGAGCAAACA